GACGAACGCUGGCGGCGUGCCUAAUACAUGCAAGUAGAACGCACAGUUUAUACCGUAGCUUGCUACACCAUAGACUGUGAGUUGCGAACGGGUGAGUAACGCGUAGGUAACCUGCCUGGUAGCGGGGGAUAACUAUUGGAAACUAUAGCUAAUACCGCAUAAUAUUAAUUAUUGCAUGAUAAUUAAUUGAAAGGUGCAAUUGCACCACUACCAGAUGGACCUGCGUUGUAUUAGCUAGUAGGUGAGGUAACGGCUCACCUAGGCGACGAUACAUAGCCGACCUGAGAGGGGGAGCGGCCACACUGGGACUGAGACACAGACCAGACUCCUACGGGAGGCAGCAGUAGGGAAUCUGGGGCAAUGGACGAAAGUCUGACCGAGCAACGCAGCGUGAGGGAAGAAGGGUUUCGGAUGGUAAAGCUCUGUUGUAAGAGAAGAACGGGGGUGAGAGUGGAAAGUUCACACUGUGACGGUAGCUGAACAGAAAGAGACGGCUAACUACGUG
rnacentral:rRNA from 1 species